rnacentral:rRNA from 1 species
UACAUGGGGUGCAAACGUUGCUCGGAAUUAUUGGGCGUAAAGCGCACGUAGGCGGUUCGUUAAGUCGGAUGUGAAAGCCCUCGGCUCAACUGAGGAAGUGCACCCGAAACUGGCGAGCUUGAGUACGAAAGAGGAUCGCGGAAUUCCCGGUGUAGAGGUGAAAUUCGUAGAUAUCGGGAGGAACACCGGUGGCGAAGGCGGCGAUCUGGGUCGAUACUGACGCUGAGGAGCGAAAGCGUGGGUAGCAAACAGG